rnacentral:rRNA from 1 species
GAUGAACGCUGGCGGCGUGCCUAAUACAUGCAAGUCGAGCGAACGGACGAGAAGCUUGCUUCUCUGAUGUUAGCGGCGGACGGGUGAGUAACACGUGGAUAACCUACCUAUAAGACUGGGAUAACUUCGGGAAACCGGAGCUAAUACCGGAUAAUAUUUUGAACCGCAUGGUUCAAAAGUGAAAGACGGUCUUGCUGUCACUUAUAGAUGGAUCCGCGCUGCAUUAGCUAGUUGGUAAGGUAACGGCUUACCAAGGCAACGAUGCAUAGCCGACCUGAGAGGGUGAUCGGCCACACUGGAACUGAGACACGGUCCAGACUCCUACGGGAGGCAGCAGUAGGGAAUCUUCCGCAAUGGGCGAAAGCCUGACGGAGCAACGCCGCGUGAGUGAUGAAGGUCUUCGGAUCGUAAAACUCUGUUAUUAGGGAAGAACAUAUGUGUAAGUAACUGUGCACAUCUUGACGGUACCUAAUCAGAAAGCCACGGCUAACUACGUGCCAGCAGCCGCGGUAAUACGUAGGUGGCAAGCGUUAUCCGGAAUUAUUGGGCGUAAAGCGCGCGUAGGCGGUUUUUUAAGUCUGAUGUGAAAGCCCACGGCUCAACCGUGGAGGGUCAUUGGAAACUGGAAAACUUGAGUGCAGAAGAGGAAAGUGGAAUUCCAUGUGUAGCGGUGAAAUGCGCAGAGAUAUGGAGGAACACCAGUGGCGAAGGCGACUUUCUGGUCUGUAACUGACGCUGAUGUGCGAAAGCGUGGGGAUCAAACAGGAUUAGAUACCCUGGUAGUCCACGCCGUAAACGAUGAGUGCUAAGUGUUAGGGGGUUUCCGCCCCUUAGUGCUGCAGCUAACGCAUUAAGCACUCCGCCUGGGGAGUACGACCGCAAGGUUGAAACUCAAAGGAAUUGACGGGGACCCGCACAAGCGGUGGAGCAUGUGGUUUAAUUCGAAGCAACGCGAAGAACCUUACCAAAUCUUGACAUCCUUUGACAACUCUAGAGAUAGAGCCUUCCCCUUCGGGGGACAAAGUGACAGGUGGUGCAUGGUUGUAGUCAGCUCGUGUCGUGAGAUGUUGGGUUAAGUCCCGCAACGAGCGCAACCCUUAAGCUUAGUUGCCAUCAUUAAGUUGGGCACUCUAAGUUGACUGCCGGUGACAAACCGGAGGAAGGUGGGGAUGACGUCAAAUCAUCAUGCCCCUUAUGAUUUGGGCUACACACGUGCUACAAUGGACAAUACAAAGGGCAGCGAAACCGCGAGGUCAAGCAAAUCCCAUAAAGUUGUUCUCAGUUCGGAUUGUAGUCUGCAACUCGACUACAUGAAGCUGGAAUCGCUAGUAAUCGUAGAUCAGCAUGCUACGGUGAAUACGUUCCCGGGUCU